rnacentral:rRNA from 1 species
CUUAGGACCUCACGUGAUUGGAGUGGCCGAUGUCAGUAUUAGCUAGUUGGUGAGGUAAAGGCUCACCAGGCGACGAUCUGUAGCGGGUCUGAGAGGAUGAUCCGCCACACGUGGGACUGAGACACGGCCCAGACUCCUACGGGAGGCAGCAGUGGGGAAUUUUUGGACAAUGGGCGCAAGCCUGAUCCAGCCAUGCCGCGUGAGUGAAGAAGGCCUUCGGGUUGUAAAGCUCUUUCGCAAGGGAAGAAAACGGCAAGGUUAAUACCUUUGUCGGCUGACGGUACCUUGACAAGAAGCACCGGCUAACUACGUG